UACGUAGGGGGCAAGCGUUGUCCGGAUUUAUUGGGCGUAAAGAGCGUGUAGGCGGCCGCACAGGUCCGUUGUGAAAACUGGAGGCUUAACCUUCAGACGUCGAUGGAAACCGUGCGGCUAGAGUCCGGAAGAGGAGAAUGGAAUUCCUGGUGUAGCGGUGAAAUGCGCAGAUAUCAGGAAGAACACCUAUGGCGAAAGCAGCUCUCUGGGACGGUACUGACGCUGAGACGCGAAAGCGUGGGGAGCGAACAGG
rnacentral:rRNA from 1 species